rnacentral:rRNA from 1 species
UGGGGAAUAUAUAGGACAAUGGGCGAAAGCCUGAUCCAGCAAUGCCGCGUGAGUGAUGAAGGCCUUAGGGUUGUAAAGCUCUUUUACCCGGGAUGAUAAUGACAGUACCGGGAGAAUAAKCCCCGGAUAACUCCGUGCCAGCAGCCGCGGUAAUAUUA